GAUGAACGCUGGCGGCGUGCCUAAUACAUGCAAGUCGAGCGAACAGAUGAGGAGCUUGCUCCUCUGACGUUAGCGGCGGACGGGUGAGUAACACGUGGAUAACCUACCUAUAAGACUGGGAUAACUUCGGGAAACCGGAGCUAAUACCGGAUAAUAUAUUGAACCGCAUGGUUCAAUAGUGAAAGACGGUUUUGCUGUCACUUGUAGAUGGAUCCGCGCCGCAUUAGCUAGUUGGUAAGGUAACGGCUUACCAAGGCAACGAUGCGUAGCCGACCUGAGAGGGUGAUCGGCCACACUGGAACUGAGACACGGUCCAGACUCCUACGGGAGGCAGCAGUAGGGAAUCUUCCGCAAAGGGCGAAAGCCUGACGGAGCAACGCCGCGUGAGUGAUGAAGGUCUUCGGAUCGUAAAACUCUGUUAUUAGGGAAGAACAAAUGUGUAAGUAACUAUGCACGUCUUGACGGUACCUAAUCAGAAAGCCACGGCUAACUACGUG
rnacentral:rRNA from 1 species